rnacentral:rRNA from 1 species
UACGGAGGGGGCUAGCGUUGUUCGGAAUUACUGGGCGUAAAGCGCGCGUAGGCGGCUUUGUAAGUUAGAGGUGAAAGCCCGGAGCUCAACUCCGGAACUGCCUUUAAGACUGCAUCGCUAGAAUCAUGGAGAGGUGAGUGGAAUUCCGAGUGUAGAGGUGAAAUUCGUAGAUAUUCGGAAGAACACCAGUGGCGAAGGCGACUCACUGGACAUGUAUUGACGCUGAGGUGCGAAAGCGCGGGGAGCAAACAGG